rnacentral:sRNA from 1 species
GGAGAAGGGAUUCCCGGCCAGGUAUGCCAG